rnacentral:misc_RNA from 1 species
UACGUAGGGUGCAAGCGUUGUCCGGAAUUAUUGGGCGUAAAGAGCUCGUAGGCGGUCUGUCGCGUCGGCUGUGAAAACCCUCGGCUCAACCGGGGGCCUGCAGUCGAUACGGGCAGACUAGAGUGCGGUAGGGGAGACUGGAAUUCCUGGUGUAGCGGUGAAAUGCGCAGAUAUCAGGAGGAACACCGGUGGCGAAGGCGGGUCUCUGGGCCGUAACUGACGCUGAGGAGCGAAAGCGUGGGGAGCGAACAGG